AAGCAGGAGGUGUCAGAAAAGUUACCACAGGGAUAACUGGCUUGUGCCGCCCAAGCGUUCAUAGGGGACGUCGCUUAUGAUCUAUCGA
rnacentral:miRNA from 1 species